rnacentral:rRNA from 1 species
UAGUCCACGCUGUAAACGAUGAAUGUUAGUCGUCGGACUUCGAGUUCGGUGAUACAGCUAACGCGUUAAACAUUCCGCCUGGGGAGUACGGUCGCAAGAUUAAAACUCAAAGGAAUUGACGGGGACCCGCACAAGCGGUGGAGCAUGUGGUUUAAUUCGAUGCUACGCGAAGAACCUUACCACCUUUUGACAUCUUGAUCGCGGAUUGCAUAAUAGCAAUCUUUCAGUUCGGCUGGAUCAAUGACAGGUGUUGCAUGGCUGUCGUCAGCUCGUGUCGUGAGAUGUUGGAUUAAGUCCCGCAACGAGCGCAACCCUCGUCCUUAGUUGCCAUCAUUUAGUUGGGCACUUUAAGGAAACUGCCGGUGAUAAGCCGGAGGAAGGUGGGGAUGACGUCAAGUCCUCAUGGGCCCUUACAGGGCUGGGGCUACACACGUGCUACAAUGGCAUCUACAGUGAGCAGCGAUCCCGCGAGGGUUA